CGCGUAGGUGGUUGCGUAAGUCGGAUGUGAAAUCCUGAGGCUUAACCUCAGAACUGCAUCUGAUACUGCGUGACUCGAGUGCAGCAGAGGGAAACGGAAUUCCUGGUGUAGAGGUGAAAUUCGUAGAUAUCAGGAGGAACACCGGUGGCGAAGGCGGUUUCCUGGGCUGACACUGACACUGAGGCGCGAAAGCGUGGGUAGCAAACAGGAUUAGAUACCCUGGUAGUCCACGCUGUAAACGGUGAGUACUGGGUGUGGGAGGUGUAAUGCCUUCUGUGCCGAAGCUAACGCGUUAAGUACUCGCCUGGGGAGUACGGCCGCAAGGUUGAA
rnacentral:rRNA from 1 species